GCGCGGGUGGCGGAAUUGGUAGACGCGCAAGGUUGAGGGCCUUGUGGGAAAUAUAUUCCCGUGGAGGUUCAAGUCCUCUCCCGCGCA
rnacentral:tRNA from 1 species